rnacentral:rRNA from 1 species
GUGGGGUAAAGGCCUACCAAGGCAACGAUCUGUAGUUGGUCUGAGAGGACGACCAGCCACACUGGGACUGAGACACGGCCCAGACUCCUACGGGAGGCAGCAGUGGGGAAUUUUGGACAAUGGGCGCAAGCCUGAUCCAGCAAUGCCGCGUGCAGGAAGAAGGCCUUCGGGUUGUAAACUGCUUUUGUCAGGGAAGAAAUCCUCUGGGCUAAUACCUCGGGGGGAUGACGGUACCUGAAGAAUAAGCACCGGCUAACUACGUGCCAGCAGCCGCGGUAAUACGUAGGGUGCGAGCGUUAAUCGGAAUUACUGGGCGUAAAGCGUGCGCAGGCGGCUUUGCAAGACAGAGGUGAAAUCCCCGGGCUCAACCUGGGAACUGCCUUUGUGACUGCAUAGCUUGAGUGCGGCAGAGGGGGAUGGAAUUCCGCGUGUA